rnacentral:rRNA from 1 species
UACGUAGGGUGCAAGCGUUGUCCGGAAUUAUUGGGCGUAAAGAGCUCGUAGGCGGUUAGUCACGUCGCUGUGAAAACCUGGGGCUCAACCCCGGGCCUGCAGCCGAUACGGGCUAGCUAGAGUUCGGCAGGGGAGACUGGAAUUCCUGGUGUAGCGGUGAAAUGCGCAGAUAUCAGGAGGAACACCGGUGGCGAAGGCGGGUCUCUGGGCCGAUACUGACACUGAGGAGCGAAAGCGUGGGGAGCGAACAGG